rnacentral:rRNA from 1 species
CCUACGGGUGGCUGCAGUGAGGAAUAUUGGUCAAUGGGCGCGAGCCUGAACCAGCCAAGUAGCGUGAAGGAUGACUGCCCUACGGGUUGUAAACUUCUGUUAUAAAGGAAUAAAGUGAGGCACGUGUGCCUUUUUGUAUGUACGUUAUGAAUAAGGAUCGGCUAACUCCGUGCCAGCAGCCGCGGUAAUACGGAGGUUCCGAUCGUUAUCCGGAUUUCUUGGGUGUAAAGGUAGCGUAUAUGGGUUGUUAAGUCAGUUGUGAACGUUUGCGGCUCAACCGUAAACUUGCAAUUGAUACUGGCAGUCUUUAUUACAGUUGAGGUAGGCUGAAUUCCUGGUGUAGCGG